rnacentral:rRNA from 1 species
UACGUAGGGGGCAAGCGUUAUCCGGAAUUACUGGGUGUAAAGGGUGAGUAGGCGGCAUGGCAAGUUAGAUGUGAAAGCCCGGGGCUUAACUCCGGGAUUGCAUUUAAAACUGCUAAGCUUGAGUACAGGAGAGGUAAGCGGAAUUCCUAGUGUAGCGGUGAAAUGCGUAGAUAUUAGGAAGAACACCGGUGGCGAAGGCGGCUUACUGGACUGAAACUGACGCUGAGGCACGAAAGCGUGGGGAGCAAACAGGAUUAGAUACCCUGGUAGUCCCUGAG